rnacentral:rRNA from 1 species
CAAUAGCGUAUAUUAAAGUUGUUGCAGUUAAAAAGCUCGUAGUUGAAUUUUUGCUUGCCGCCGAUGUCGGAACUUCCGUACGUUCGGCGGCGUGCAUCCUUGGGUGGAACCUGUGUGGCAUUAGGUUGUCGUGCAGGGGAUGCUCAUCGUUUACUGUGAAAAAAUUAGAGUGUUCAAAGCAGGCUUACGCCGUUGAAUAUAUUAGCAUGGAAUAAUAAGAUAGGACCUUGGUACUAUUUUGUUGGUUUGCGCACCGAGGUAAUGAUUAACAGGGACAGUUGGGGGUCUUCGUAUUCCAUUGUCAGAGGUGAAAUUCUUGGAUUUCUGGAAGACGAACUACUGCGAAAGCAUUUACCAAGGAUGUUUUCAUUAA